ACAUGCAGCCAGGACUUGCAAAGUUCCUCCAUCGCAUCUCGCUCAACUUUUUACAACAGACUUCGUGCGUGACAGCGUUCCAAUUUUUGACUCGUGGAUUUUUAAUCCCGCGAUAACCCAGUUUAUGAUUUAAUAGAUGUCCGAACGUCUCUCGGGAAUAAAUGAAAUUUCAAGUGCAGAUAUUGAUAACAGCGGAGAUCAGAUGUUUUAAAAGUAGAGAAAAAGGGAUGUUACACCUACUUGUGGCCAGUUUCCGUGCCCUGCCUUUGGAUCUCAUGGUGCCAGUCUCUCGGUGUGGGUUUGUUUGAAUUUUUUUCUCCGAUCCCCUUUUCUUCUUUUUUCCCGUUUUCCCCUCUCUACUGUGCGCUUUUUUUUUUCUCGAUCCCAGACACGCUAUCUCUCCAGCAUUGUCAAUCCGGACACCUUCGCACAUGCGCACAAGCCUCCGAGGUCUGCCGGCUGCACGUGCCAGACAAACUUUUUGUCCGAUUGAUCACUUUAGAGAUGACCUGACGUAUCGCGGAUGGGCUGUGUCACUUUUUUUUCUCCCUCACACAGCCACGGAGAUUUGCACGCUGUAAAAAAUGUCCCGUUGUUGCUCCUGUUUUAAGGUUUCAUGAACCAGACAGUGGGCAUCUCUACUAUAUUUUCUUCAGCGUAAUGAAUUGCGUUCUUUUGUGCAAAUCGGCAUUAUAAAUUAAGACAAUGUCUUCCUUUUUUUGUUGCACAGCUGCAGCCAACCGCUCUCUCGAGUGGGCUGACCCUUUCAAAAGUCACAUUAAUCACUCUCGUUAUUAAAGAUCGCAAUUUUGCAACAACACAGAGCGGGAGAGUUUUUGUGCUGGGAAUUAUAUUGUGACAAUCAUAAAUUCCACUUCGAGACGCUUCGGUUGAAAAUCUUGAAUCACUUAUCUGUGGGUAAUUAUGAAAGAUAGUUUCACCUGAGUUAACUCUGUAGAAUAAAAAAGACAUAUUUAUAUUUGUUAUUAAAACAAUUCAGGAGCGUGUUCCUGCAUGUCUGCAACAGCAAAGAGACUGUCCCCGGAAUGGCCACUGAUAUCCAACACUGUCAAACUCAGACUGCCGUCAAAGACUUCAAAGCAGUGAUGGCCUUUCGUGUGUACUUUGAGACAUCAUGCACAUGAUGCUACAAUUCUUUACAUAAGUGGUGCAGUGAGCUUUCAUUUCCCUCUGUUAUUUUUCUUUGUGCUCUGGAUUGAUAGCAAAUCACUCAAAGAAAUCUCGUAAUGCUCUACUGUGAUCUGGCGGGAACGGUACAAAAACUGAUUGGUCGAUGCAGCAAUUUGUGUCUGCAAGUCGACCCAGAUUUUUGUUUUGACCAAUCAUAAAAAAAAAAAAAGAAAAUCGGACGGAUAAUAUCGUCAUUGGUAUGCAACAGUUGCCCAGCUGGGAACAUCAUGGUGUUGUGUGUCAGUUGUCGCUUUUUGUAAUGUCACCAUGUGAAUGAAGGGUGUCUUGGGAAAAUAUUAGCUGAUGUUGUUGCAAUUGUCGCCAUACUCUGUUUUGUCAGUGGCACUAACUCUGAAGAUGAAAAAGGCCUUUGCAACUCAAAACACAACCAAUGACUUUGCACUUUGUGCAAAUGCAGUGAGAAAUCGGAACUAAUGUCUGCGACACGAUGUCUGAAAAAGUAGGGCACGCACUCAGCUUCUUUCGUCGUGCAUGAUUUUACAAAUAGAUUCUCACUAAAUUGUUUUGAAGUACUCGGUGGCUCAGGGACUCAUCUGUUCUUUGUUCCUGUGCCCACCAAACAGAUUUGUGGUUUUGUGUUUUAGCUUUUUUUUUUUUUUUUGUGGAUUCCUUUUGAUAUGGUUGCGCAAUGGAUCAAUGCACAUAAUCUAAUUUCUUGCUAGUUUAAUACUCGUGUCCGUUUGCAAAUAUAGUUAAUCCAGUGAAUGAUAUGCAAAAUUGCUGAGUGUCACGAAUGUGAAUAAAAUAGCCAUUAGUCUGGAAACUUGUGAAUCAAUCAUUUAAUGUGAUUUGUCAAUAUAUAAAUGAAUACUAUUGUAGCAAGCCUUUUUCCAUACAAAAAUAAAUUUCUACAAUUUAUGGCUGAUAAAUUAUCGCUAUACAUCAACGAUCUAUGAUAAAACGGCAAAAAUACUUUACAAGAAUAAAAAAAAAAAAAAAGUGAGUGAGGUACUUGCUGCAACAAUCUUGCAUUUACGGUGGAGUUUUUUGUUCCGAAGAAGUUGUUGAAUCCACCGACAAGGAAGCAGGGCUGUCUUCAUCCUCACUGUCUACCGCUCCUGGUUCUUCCUGAAGUUCAGACGUCGAUGUUGCUGCAGGUAUUAAAUAUUCAGGGAACACAUUAAAUAGAAAACAGAAAAGGUUCACUAUGACAGUAAAAGUACAUCAAAUAUUUUGAUUACACAAUAAAUGCACAUUGACAUUUUGACACAUUUCUUAUCCCAUCAAUUUGAUGUCAUCCUUUAGCCUUAAUUCCUUUUGUAUAUUCUCUUGGCAGAUUCAGUCACGAUUAAUUACAUAAUAAAUAUUGCU